AUGGAACCUGAUACUGUCCACAGACAUUGUGAUGUUCUCAACUGUUCACUAAACAUGUGCCACCUUCAAGCCAUGAUUGCACAUGCGGAUGGUUUGGUGUGCAGAAUACCCCAGGAUAAGAAAACUUGGUGCAUGCAAGGAGUGCAAGCAGCUUGGAGAUUAGGCAGAUGGGAUCUCAUGGAUGAGUACCUACCCGAGGCAGACAAAAGUCUUGUGUGCAGCAGUUCUGAGAACAGUGCUUCGUUUGACAUAGGUCUUGCUAAGAUAUUCAAGGCAAUGAUGAACACAGAUCAGUUUAUGGUUGCUGAAAAGAUUGCCCAGUCCAAGCAAGCAAUGCUUGUUCCGUUGGCUGCAGCAGGCAUGGACUCGUACAUGUGUGCAUAUCCCUACAUUGUAAAGCUUCACAUGCUGUGCGAGUUGGAAGACUUCAACUCCCUGCGGGGAGACGAGUCAUUUCUCGAUAAAACAUUCAGUGUAGAUGAUCCAAAAUUUCUGAAAUUAACAACAGACUGGGAUAACCGUCUGAGAUGUACACAAUCUUCUAUGUCGGCAAGGGAGCCUUUGCUUGCUUUCCAACGGAUGUUUUAUAAUCUGAGUCAUAUGAAUUCUCAAGUUGGGAAUUGCUGGCUUCAGUACGCUAAACUCUGCUGUUUGGCUGGUCAUUAUGAGGCAGCUCACCGUGCAAUACUGGAAGCAGAUGCUUCGGGUGCUCCUAACGUUCAUAUGGAGAAGGCAAAGCACCUCUGGAAUAUACGGAAUUUUGUUUCACAUGUAUUUUCUUCCCAUUAUUUCGACCCAUGUAGAGAUCUGAAUCAUCUGAUCAUCCCAUCUCAUUUGCAGAUGUUGAGCAUCAUUCACGGGUCCACGAGGGAUCUACCAACUUAUCAGUGGCUGACUGUGCUGUCUCAGUUGAUAUCCCGCAUUUGUCAUCAGAAUGGUGAGGUUGUCAAAACUGCCAGACAAAUUAUCACGUCUGUGUUACAGGCGUGCCCUCAGCAAGCACUUUGGAUGAUGGCUGCAGUGUCAAAGUCAACAGUUUCUGCAAGAAAAGAUGCCGCAACACAGAUAUUAAACUCAGCAAAGAAGGGCUGUCGGAAGGGGGGCAAUGUGGCACUGUUUAAUCAGUUUCCUUCUCUAAUAGAACAUCUGAUUAAGCUGUGCUUUCAUCCAGGGCAGCCCAAGGCAAAGGCAAUAAAUAUCUCAACUGAGUUCAGCUCCUUGAAAAGAAUGAUGCCACUAGGAAUUAUCUUACCUGUCCAGCAGUCUCUAACUGUGACUCUGCCAUCAUACGAUUCAAGGGAUUGUCAAGGCUCCAGAUCAAUUCUUUGCACUCAUUUAACUAGAGGCGUGUUCCUCGGAAGCGGUGGAGUUGCCCGCCCCUUUUUAUGCAAACCGAAGGAUGGUCUCAGGAAGGAGAAGGAUGCACGCGUGAUGGAGUUCAACGCCGUGAUCAACCGUCUCCUCUCCAAAGUUCCUGAGAGCCGCCGCAGGAGAAAGCUCUACAUCAGAACCUUGGCGGUGGUUCCACUCACAGAAGACUGCGGACUGAACAUGAUGGACGGUUUGGGCAUCGCUGGGAGGGUGUCGUGUUUCUGA
rnacentral:rRNA from 1 species